GACGAACGCUGGCGGCGUGCUUAGCACAUGCAAGUCGAACGGAAAGGCCCUGCUUUUGUGGGGUGCUCGAGUGGCGAACGGGUGAGUAACACGUGAGUAACCUGCCCUUGACUUUGGGAUAACUUCAGGAAAUUGGGGCUAAUACCGGAUAGGAGCUCCUGCUGCAUGGUGGGGGUUGGAAAGUUUCGGCGGUUGGGGAUGGACUCGCGGCUUAUCAGCUUGUUGGUGGGGUAGUGGCUUACCAAGGCUUUGACGGGUAGCCGGCCUGAGAGGGUGACCGGCCACAUUGGGACUGAGAUACGGCCCAGACUCCUACGGGAGGCAGCAGUGGGGAAUAUUGCACAAUGGGCGGAAGCCUGAUGCAGCAACGCCGCGUGCGGGAUGACGGCCUUCGGGUUGUAAACCGCUUUCGCCUGUGACGAAGCGUGAGUGACGGUAAUGGGUAAAGAAGCACCGGCUAACUACGUG
rnacentral:rRNA from 1 species